CGCCAGGGCAAGGAGGAUGGGAGACCUAAAGUGUAAAAUCAACAGGACGCGAAUCUGGGAGAAAAUGCUGAAGUGAUUAUGACUCACGACCUGCUGGUCCUCUCAGCUGGAGUGGCCUUGGAGAAACACCGUCACGGUUGUGUAACUGAGGCAAUGUGUUCGGAGAAGCUGGAAGCGUGAUGGAACAGCUUCCCGCAGCCCCAGUUUUCCAUUGGGGCCUGCCCUGCCUACCUCUGUUGACAUCAAAGCUCUCCCAGCGCCUUUGCGUGCCUGCUCAGUCGGCCCUGCCUGCUGCCACCCGGGGAAGAACUGGCGGCUAGCCCUGCAACAAAGCGGAGGACAUUUCUGCAAGGAAGCUCUCAUCAAAAACACCCGCCCCCUUCCAGUCCUGUGCAACAGCUCUGCAUCCCCAGGCCGGGGGUUCAAUCGUCCGUCUUGGACAAAGGCAGCUUUUACAGGGAGGUCUCCAGGAACGUGGGCAGCUUCCCAAGGUGUCUCACGGGUUCUGGGCAGCGCUGUCUGUCUGUGGGCCGAUGGGUGUGUCUUUUGCAAUCCUGUUAGGGCGCCUGGAUUUGGGAAGUCUUGGCUCCUCUCCCCACAGUGAUGCAGGGCAUCGGAUUAUUGCUGGCAGCUAAGCCUCAACGCCUGCUGCCAUUCCGGCUCCUUUCUCUGCUCCCACUGCUGAGAUUUACAUCACUCCCUUCUCUAUUUUGCCCUAUACUCUGGAAAUGGCUGACCUCUUCCCAAGGAAGAAGCGGAGGAAAUAAACUGACCAUCCUUGCCUACUUUUCCUAUGGGUCCUCCCUCCCUAAAUCUGCUUGUAUCUGGAAACCCUGGACGAAAGGAGUUACGGCAUCCUCAGAGAGGACAAGCAGUUGUCACUGGGUCCUCAUAUUGGUUUGAAACGUGUAAAAUACUUAACAGAUGGUGUGGGAAAGGUCACAUUAGCCAUCUCCUGCUCAUCAAUGGGAAUUUGAAAAUAAACCCAGGAUGGGUGUUGUUUCCUUGGAAA